GAUGAACGCUGGCGGCGUGCCUAAUACAUGCAAGUCGAGCGAACAGGCGAGGAGCUUGCUCCUCUGACGUUAGCGGCGGACGGGUGAGUAACACGUGGAUAACCUACCUAUAAGACUGGGAUAACUUCGGGAAACCGGAGCUAAUACCGGAUAAUAUAUUGAACCGCAUUGUUCAAUAGUGAAAGACGGUUUUGCUGUCUCUUAUAGAUGGAUCCGCGCCGCAUUAGCUAGUUGGUAAGGUAACGGCUUACCAAGGCAACGAUGCGUAGCCGACCUGAGAGGGUGAUCGGCCACACUGGAACUGAGACACGGUCCAGACUCCUACGGGAGGCAGCAGUAGGGAAUCUUCCGCAAUGGGCGAAAGCUUGACGGAGCAACGCCGCGUGAGUGAUGAAGGUCUUCGGAUCGUAAAACUCUGUUAUUAGGGAAGAACAAAUGUGUAAGUAACUAUGCACGUCUUGACGGUACCUAAUCAGAAAGCCACGGCUAACUACGUG
rnacentral:rRNA from 1 species